CCUACGGGUGACUGCAGUGGGGAAUAUUGGGCAAUGGGCGCAAGCCUGACCCAGCAACGCCGCGUGAAGGCAGCAGGCUUUCGGGUUGUAAACUUCUUUUACGAGGGCAGAGCAGAAGACGGUACCUCUUGAAUAAGCCACGGCUAACUACGUGCCAGCAGCCGCGGUAAUACGUAGGAUCCGAGCAUUAUCCGGAGUGACUGGGUGUAAAGAGUUGCGUAGGUGGCAUAAUAAGUAGCUAGUGAAAUCUGGUGGCUCAACCAUUCAGACUAUUAGCUAAACUGUUAAGCUCGAGACCGUUAGGGGUAACUGGAAUUUCUAGUGUAGGAGUGAAAUCCGUAGAUAUUAGAAGGAACACCAAGAGCGUAGGCAGGUUGCUGGGACGGUUCUGACACUAAGGCACGAAAGCGUAGGGAGCAAACGGGAUUAGAUACCCGAGUAGUC
rnacentral:rRNA from 1 species